UGGGGAAUAUUGCACAAUGGGCGAAAGCCUGAUGCAGCGACGCCGCGUGAGGGAUGACGGCCUUCGGGUUGUAAACCUCUUUCAGCAGGGACGAAGCGCAAGUGACGGUACCUGCAGAAGAAGCACCGGCUACCUACGUGCAGCAGCCGCGGUAAUACGUAGGGUGCAAGCGUUGUCCGGAAUUACUGGGCGUAAAGAGUUCGUAGGCGGUUUGUCGCGUAGUUUGUGAAAACCAGCAGCUCAACUGCUGGCUUGCAGGCGAUACGGGCAGACUUGGGUACUGCAGGGGAGACUGGAAUGCAGGGUGUAGCGGUGAAAUGCGCAGAUAUCAGGAGGAACACCGGUGGCGAAGGCGGGUCUCUGGGCAGUAACUGACGCUGAGGAACGAAAGAGUGGGUAGCGAGCAGG
rnacentral:rRNA from 1 species